UCUUGGUUCAGGAUGAACGCUGGCGGCGUGCUUAACACAUGCAAGUCGAACGGAGUUUAAAAUGAAGCUUGCGAUUUUUAAACUUAGUGGCGGACGGGUGAGUAACGCGUGGGUAACCUGCCUUAUACCGGGGGAUAACACUUAGAAAUAGGUGCUAAUACCGCAUAAGCGCACAGUUUCGCAUGAAACAGUGUGAAAAACUCCGGUGGUAUAAGAUGGACCCGCGUCUGAUUAGCUAGUUGGUGAGGUAACGGCCCACCAAGGCGACGAUCAGUAGCCGGCCUGAGAGGGUGAACGGCCACAUUGGGACUGAGACACGGCCCAAACUCCUACGGGAGGCAGCAGUGGGGAAUAUUGCACAAUGGGGGGAACCCUGAUGCAAGCGACGCCGCGUGAAGGAAGAAGUAUCUCGGUAUGUAAACUUCUAUCAGCAGGGAAGAAAAUGACGGUACCUGACUAAGAAGCCCCGGCUAACUACGUGCCAGCAGCUGC
rnacentral:rRNA from 1 species